rnacentral:tRNA from 1 species
GACUGUUCGGCUCAGUUGGUAGAGCAUGGUGUUUGCAACGCCAUGGUUGUGGGUUCGAUUCCCACAGCGGACC